CUUUGCUUGAGCUGGAGAAGAGUGGAUGAUACUCUGAGCUGGCUGCUGGGACUCCACCAGGACAAGGCCUUGAGACUGCAUGACUUGGCCAGAGGGCUGAAUCACCGAAGACCCACCACAAAGAACGAGAGAGUGCAGGCACACACACUCAACCAAGGAGUGCUCACGAGAGAUAAUUACAUUCAGAAAAGGUUUAUUAUUUCAACCUGGAUGCAUCAGCAUUUAUGGAUUGAUAAUCU